rnacentral:other from 2 species
AUUCCCCUGCAGUGUUCGCCAAGGCCAUACAUUCCUUGAACCAAUGACUUGGCAUAGGCCGCGGACCACAGCGUCACUUUUGUGAGCGUCCCAUCGUCGGAUGCACCUGCGGUGACCGGAAAGCGGCCGCUCUGGACCUCAGGUUCAGGAUGCCGGCCUAGCGGCACAGGCGGGGGAUCC